rnacentral:rRNA from 1 species
AAACUCAAAUGAAUUGACGGGCCCCGCACAAGCAGCGGAGCGUGUGGUUUAAUUCGAUGCUACACGAAGAACCUUACCAGGGUUUGACAUACAAGUAGUAGGGAAAGGAAACUGGACCGACCCUUCGGGGAGCUUGUACAGGUGCUGCAUGGCUGUCGUCAGCUCGUGUCGUGAGAUGUUCGGUUAAGUCCGCUAACGAGCGCAACCCUCGCUGUGUGUUACAAGUGUCACACGGAACUGCCGGUCAUAAACCGGAGGAAGGUGGGGAUGACGUCAAGUCAGCAUGGCCUUUAUGUCCUGGGCUACACACACGCUACAAUGGCCAACACAAUAGGUUGCUAAGCCGCGAGGUGGAGCCAAUCCUCAAAGUUGGUCUCAGUUCAGAUUGCAGGCUGCAACCCGCCUGCAUGAAGAUGGAGUUGCUAGUAACCGCAGGUCAGCUAUACUGCGGUGAAUACGUUCCCGGGGCUU